UGGGUUCUUAGAUGGGUUUGUUUGUCUAUGGCGGGGGUAGGCAACUAGAUUCAGUCGCUGGCUGAUUUUUGUUGGUUCGCAUGGUCGUGUGCCGGAACCUAAUUAUAAUAAUUUGUACACUGCAAAUUGACCACAACCAAAAAGAGAUUGUAUUUAAAAAUAACAGUAAAUUCUUACCUUGAUUACGUUGAGACAUAAUCACAUACCGUUAUGUCUCUUUUUAUUUUUUAUUUAACAGCUUUCCUAAAUUAAACUCAUUUUUAGCUGAUUUCAUGGUCAUUUUAAGAUGACUAAAACUUUGGGGGGGGCCACUCGCGGUACGGUUUUGUUGCUUGUUUGAUUUAGGUAGAGAGGGUAGGCCAUUUCCAUACUAACAGUUUGGUUGUCUGUGUUAGGUAGAGAGGGUAGGCCAUAUCCAUACUAACUGUUUGGUUGUCUGUGUUAGGUAGAGAGGGUAGGCCAUAUCCAUACUAACUGUUUGGUUGUCUGUGUUAGGUAGAGAGGGUAGGCAUAUCCAUACUAACUGUUUGGUUGUCUGUGUUAGGUAGAGAGGGUAGGCCAUUUCCAUACUAACUGUUUGGUUGUCUGUGUUAGGUAGAGAGGGUAGGCCAUAUCCAUACUAACUGUUUGGUUGUCUGUGUUAGGUAGAGAGGGUAGGCAUAUCCAUACUAACUGUUUGGUUGUCUGUGUUAGGUAGAGAGGGUAGGCCAUUUCCAUACUAACUGUUUGGUUGUCUGUGUUAGGUAGAGAGGGUAGGCCAUAUCCAUACUAACUGUUUGGUUGUCUGUGUUAGGUAGAGAGGGUAGGCAUAUCCAUACUAACUGUUUGGUUGUCUGUGUUAGGUAGAGAGGGUAGGCCAUUUCCAUACUAACAGUUUGGUUGUCUGUGUUAGGUAGAGAGGGUAGGCCAUAUCCAUACUAACUGUUUGGUUGUCUGUGUUAGGUAGAGAGGGUAGGCAUAUCCAUACUAACUGUUUGGUUGUCUGUGUUAGGUAGAGAGGGUAGGCCAUAUCCAUACUAACAGUUUGGUUGUCUGUGUUAGGUAGAGAGGGUAGGCCAUA